UUGGAUAAGAGGUUUAUCAAUUUAAUACAUUUUUGUUUAUAUUUCACUGUUCAUAAAUAGUUAUAUUUACCAUAAGCUGUUUUAUUUCUUAGGAUUGAAAGGCAAUAGCACUUGUCAAAAUUGUCAUGAAGAUUUUGUUAUUUCCAACUAGUCAUAUUUGGUACUCAUCAUUAUGCCAUGUACACAUUUGGAGAAAUUGUUAGAGUUAUAUUCAUUAUUGUUGAAAGGCAAUAGCACUUGGCAAAAUUGUCAUGAAGAUUUUGUUAUUUAAAACAGGUCUUAUUUUGAACUCAUCAUUAUGCCAUGUACACAUUUGGAGAAAUUGUUAGAGAGUUAUAUUCAUUAUUGUUGAAAGGCAAUAGCACUUGGCAAAAUUGUCAUGAAGAUUUUGUUAUUUAAAACAGGUCUUAUUUUGUACUCAUCAUUAUGCCAUGUACACAUUUGGAGAAAUUGUUAGAGAGUUAUAUUCAUUAUUGUCAUGAAGAUUUUGUUAUUUCCAAUUAGUCAUAUUUUGUAGUCAUCAUUAUGCCACAUACACAUUUGAAGUACUUAGUUAUAUGUGUUAUUGUUGUGAUUUAUUGAUAAUUAUUGUGAUAUUUUGAUUGUGUAAAUGGCAUCAUUAUUCAGUAAGAAUUAUGUUAAUGAUCUCAUUAUUCAGUAAGAAUUAUGUUAAUGAUCUCAUUAUUCAGUAAGAAUUAUGUUAAUGAUCUCAUUAUUUAGUAAGAAUUAUUUUGUAUUUAUUUAUUGAGUUUAUGUUGGAACUUGGCUUUCUACACAAACAGUGUAAUAAAAUUGAAGUUAAAGUUA